UUAGACGGGGCCCGCACAAGCGGUGGAGCAUGUGGUUUAAUUCGAUGCAACGCGAAGAACCUUACCUGGGCUUGACAUCCCGAGAAUCCCCUGGAAACAGGGGAGUGCCUUUCGGGGAACUCGGAGACAGGUGCUGCAUGGCUGUCGUCAGCUCGUGUCGUGAGAUGUUGGGUUAAGUCCCGCAACGAGCGCAACCCUUGUCUUUAAUUGCCAGCAUUCAGUUGGGCACUUUAAAGAGACUGCCGGUGUUAAGCCGGAGGAAGGUGGGGAUGACGUCAAGUCCUCAUGGCCUUUAUGCCCAGGGCUACACACGUGCUACAAUGGGUGGUACAAAGAGAUGCCAACUCGCGAGAGCGCGCCAAUCUCAGAAAGCCAUCCUCAGUUCGGAUUGGAGUCUGCAACUCGACUCCAUGAAGUUGGAAUCGCUAGUAAUCGCGGAUCAGCACGCCGCGGUGAAUACGUUCCCGGGCCUU
rnacentral:rRNA from 1 species